GAGUGUGAAAACUUCUCUGGCCUCUCCACCUGCUCAAGCAUCGGUGGCUGUAACAUCUUUAGCACAGCAAGCUGCUAGUGUUCAGGAUCAAUCUGAUGAAGUAGCAUCACAGGACAGUAGCUCUGAAAUAGUUGUUAGAACCCCACCUCCUAAAAGUAGUGCAGUUGCUACUUCUGCUCCCACAACGCCUGCUGGGAGUCAUGCAACCCAGGGUGCUGCUGCUUUAUCUCCAACUAGUAUGUCAAAUGCAAUAAAAGAAGACGAUCUGACAAGUUUUCCAGCUCGAAAGCCUUCCCCUGCCCUUAGUGAAACUGCUUUAAGAGGUGUUAGUAGAGGUGCUCUAUCUAACCAACCCGUGGCUAGUAUUGCACUUGGUUCUACUGGUUCAGUUACUGGCAAUGGAGGUCUAGGAG
rnacentral:misc_RNA from 1 species